rnacentral:rRNA from 1 species
UACGAAGGGGGCUAGCGUUGCUCGGAAUCACUGGGCGUAAAGCGCACGUAGGCGGACUCUUAAGUCGGUGGUGAAAUCCUGGAGCUCAACUCCAGAACUGCCUUCGAUACUGAGAGUCUUGAGUCCGGGAGAGGUGAGUGGAACUGCGAGUGUAGAGGUGAAAUUCGUAGAUAUUCGCAAGAACACCAGUGGCGAAGGCGGCUCACUGGCCCGGUACUGACGCUGAGGUGCGAAAGCAAGGGGAGCAAACAGG